rnacentral:rRNA from 1 species
UACGUAGGGGGCGAGCGUUGUCCGGAGUUACUGGGCGUAAAGCGCACGCAGGCGGUCUGCUAAGUUUGGAGUGACAGUUGGUGGCUUAACUGCCAAAGUGCUUCGAAAACUGACAGACUUGAGGGCUUCAGAGGGACACGGAAUUCCGGGUGGAGUGGUGAAAUGCGUAGAUAUCAGGAGGAACACCUGUGGCGAAAGCGGCGCACUGGACCACAACUGACGCUGAGGCGCGAAAGCUAGGGGAGCAAACAGG